UCCCGAGAGUUCCGCUGGACUCCGUUCAGGAGGUGCUGAUCCAAACUUGAGGUCACAUCAACCCGCCCUGGCCCCGACUACUGUGGUUGAAGUCCCGACUCUCACCUAUGGUGUGUCCCGGCGUGGAGAGCGGCGUGACUGAUCCGUCGGGGGACGGGUGGAACUGCUGCUGGACUUUGGUGCGGAUAAUCCUGAUACGGACUGCUCAAAGAGAACCCAAACGUGGGGUCGCACAUCUUGAUGGAGGAAGGAUAUAGAAUACAUGCUAACGAAGAGUAGCACGGGAGGCAAUACAUCGAGAAUGAUCACAACUCCGAAAUUGUUCGACAAA